UACGAAGGGGGCUAGCGUUGCUCGGAAUCACUGGGCGUAAAGCGCACGUAGGCGGUAUCGCUAAGUCAGGGUGAAAUCCUGGAGCUCGAACUCCAGAACUGCCUUUGAUACUGGCAAUCUCGAGUCCGGGAGAGGUGGAGUGGGAACUGCGAGUGUAGAGGUGAAAUGCGCAGAGUAUCAGGAGGAACACCAAUGGCGAAGGCAGCGACUCCUGGGACGUGACUGACGCUGAGACGCGAAAGCGUGGGGAGCAAACAGG
rnacentral:rRNA from 1 species